CCUCUGGUUCCCCAUCUCGCUUUCGACGCCGCCUCCAACCCUAGCUCGCACAAUGGCCUCCUCUUCUUCCCAGCCUUCACCAUCCAUAUCAUCUCCUCCUCACACGGAGGCAAUCCUCGCGGUCUCCUCGCUCUGCCUCUUCAAAGGGCGCCGCGGGGUUCGAGGUCGCAGUGGCCAACGUAUGGCCUGGAGCGUCGAUCCCAUCUCCGUCACGGUGGAUUGAUGCGCUGUGCGGGCAGACCGCGUUGUUGCCUGGAUGCUUUACCGUGUUCACCCCUCUGACCGUGUUUAAGGCUGCAGAUUUCGGAGAACGUGGUCAAGAAACAUUCGUUGGAAAGGAGACGAUUCUUUACUUGCUCCUGCUGCCACACUUAUAGGUAAUCAUCGAAGGCAUGGCAAGGUGGCAGAAUGGCAGUUAGCUUCAUGGGCUCUGCUCAAUCAGGAUCUUGUAGAGAAGCCAGGACGCAAGAAUCCAGACACAGCACAUCACCCUCUAGGAAACAGUAUCUUAAGGCUUCUUGAGUAGCAGCGCUGAGAAUUGUCUGGGCUGUGGGAAGACUAGCGGCAGCCUAAUCUUGUGGAAGUUGGGCUCCAGGACCGUCCAGGUAAGGUGUGUGGCUAUUAGAUGACUUAAGUCUAAGAGAUCUAGUGUCUGGUUUGUGCAUGCUGCCACAAAAGUGGAGGUUUUUCCUCUUCUAUCAGUGGAAGUUUUUGAGUGUGACUGCUAGGCAAUGAGUCAAGAUCACCUUGUUCUGAACUUCUGAUACCACAUGAAGGUGGAGUUAGCUUGCAUUGGAGUGGGGGGCACCGGGUGAUACAAAGUUUGCAUGGGAUCCAAGGACACCGACAGAAUUACUCCCUUCGGCCCUAUAAGAAUACAUGGAAUGUGUGAUCAGUUAGAGAAGGCUGCUGCAUCCUGAUGUGGGAAUACACUCGCAGAUGCAUGACUGCAGUUGCCACUGAGAAGAACUUGAGCACUAUGGUCUAGGAAUAUCCAUGCCUUCCCUUUGAUGAUUAGCUUUUUGGGUGGGGGAAUAUUAUUACCAGAACCAUCUAUAUGUGUCAAACAAAAAAAUCAUAGUCUAGGGUCGCUAAUAGCUAAGGUCUGUGGACAUUUUAUGCACAUGAAACCCUCUUUGAAAUGAUGGUAGGUGCAGGAUUAUUGAUGACUAGUGUGUGAUAUCAUUAUGCUGCUGUCUAAUGUACUUUACUCUAAUAUAGAAAUAUUCUUUUGACAUAUGCAUAAUGUCCUUAGCUAGUCAAUGUGGGGCCUAACAGAAAAGACAGAUAUUAUCUUAUUACAUGAUUGACUGAGAUAAAUUUACCUCAACAGGGUUUUCCUUAUCAUUAUUAAUUUUUUGGCUCUGUUCACGUUCAGUUCUUUUGCCUUCAACCCCUGUAAGGCUGUAACAGCUUUUGCAUAGAGUACUAGAUUACACCAUUGCAUGCUGAGAUCGAUUCGUGGUGGCCUGAUGCUUCAAGACGUUUUGCGGUGGCCAAUCAUGAAAAGGUUAAUUCCUUAAUCAUGCUGAGCCUUUGACUGGAGAUAAAUUAUUGCAUCUUCGAAGACAAGCGCGCUCCUGCUAGCUCUGUUUUGAGCAUGCCCCUUGAUGAGGGGCACGCGUGGGUGGCUUGUAGAGGUGGGCAGCCGAGAGCAAUAGAGUAGCCCUGGCUUGUCUUUGAGC